GCUCCUGUCGGAAACAACUUGGAGCAGACCACUGUGAGGGAAAAUAAGGGUACAGAGAAUCGACCUAACUAACAUUAAUAAAAUCCCUAACUAAACCAACCCAACCUACAACAAGGUCAACAUUUGUAGACCUUUCAUAUUGCCAGUUGGGCACUAAUGAGAAGUCAUCAAUGGAUUAGGAGCAGCAUCCACAUUUCUUUCCCUGUCCACAGUUCACCAUGGUAGGCACUGUCCUUUGAAACAAGCUCACAAACAGCAGGCUGGAGCAUGUAAAAGGGGUCAGGAAAAAUCUGGACGGCAAACUUGAAGAAGAACCCCAGUGUGGAUGCUCAUCUUGCUAGGAUAGGAAGGAAACAAAGCCAUAUUUUCUGUCUUUGGGAAACGUUUCCAGUGAUUCUGAACCCUUGCUCUUUACACUAGAGC